AAAGUCGUAACAAGGUUUCCGUAGGAAGGAUCAUUAGAGAAUUGUACCAAAAACAAUAAGGACAAUCCAUCCAUAUCCCACCUUGUGUGCACCCCAUUGAAACCAUGCUUUGGGAGGUUUCUCCUCUGUUGGAAUUGGAGAUACUCAAGCCUUUCAAGGUUUUUGUUCUCGCAACACUUUUUUUCCUGAAAAAUCAAACACAAUAAUAAUAAAUACAACUUUCAACAACGGAUCUCUUGGCUC
rnacentral:misc_RNA from 1 species